rnacentral:sRNA from 1 species
AUUUGCCCACGAACAACACUGUAAGUGUCAUUCAACCCCAUCAAAAACUGCAUGAGCUUUUGUUGUUCCUGUUGUCCCGUGGGUAUAGAGUCAGUGUAGGAGCUCAAUUCGUCCAUAGGCCCUUCAAUUUU